rnacentral:pre_miRNA from 13 species
GGCCGCAUGCGAAAAUAAAUCUUCGCAUGCGGUCCAUCUAAGAAGCCGCAUGCGAAGAUAUAUUUUCCCAUGCGGUC